rnacentral:rRNA from 1 species
CUGCUUUGCUGACGAGUGGCGGACGGGUGAGUAAUGUCUGGGAAACUGCCUGAUGGAGGGGGAUAACUACUGGAAACGGUGGCUAAUACCGCAUAACGUCGCAAGACCAAAGAGGGGGACCUUCGGGCCUCUUGCCAUCAGAUGUGCCCAGAUGGGAUUAGCUUGUUGGUGAGGUAACGGCUCACCAAGGCGACGAUCCCUAGCUGGUCUGAGAGGAUGACCAGCCACACUGGAACUGAGACACGGUCCAGACUCCUACGGGAGGCAGCAGUGGGGAAUAUUGCACAAUGGGCGCAAGCCUGAUGCAGCCAUGCCGCGUGUAUGAAGAAGGCCUUCGGGUUGUAAAGUACUUUCAGCGGGGAGGAAGGUGUUGUGGUUAAUAACCGCAGCAAUUGACGUUACCCGCAGAAGAAGCACCGGCUAACACCGUGCCAGCAGCCGCGGUAAUACGGAGGGUGCAAGCGUUAAUCGGAAUUACUGGGCGUAAAGCGCACGCAGGCGGUCUGUCAAGUCGGAUGUGAAAUCCCCGGGCUCAACCUGGGAACUGCAUUCGAAACUGGCAGGCUUGAGUCUUGUAGAGGGGGGUAGAAUUCCAGGUGUAGCGGUGAAAUGCGUAGAGAUCUGGAGGAAUACCGGUGGCGAAGGCGGCCCCCUGGACAAAGACUGACGCUCAGGUGCGAAAGCGUGGGGAGCAAACAGGAUUAGAUACCCUGGUAGUCCACGCCGUAAACGAUGUCUACUUGGAGGUUGUGCCCUUGAGGCGUGGCUUCCGGAGCUAACGCGUUAAGUAGACCGCCUGGGGAGUACGGCCGCAAGGUUAAAACUCAAAUGAAUUGACGGGGGCCCGCACAAGCGGUGGAGCAUGUGGUUUAAUUCGAUGCAACGCGAAGAACCUUACCUGGUCUUGACAUCCACAGAACUUUCCAGAGAUGGAUUGGUGCCUUCGGGAACUGUGAGACAGGUGCUGCAUGGCUGUCGUCAGCUCGUGUUGUGAAAUGUUGGGGUAAGUCCCGCAACGAGCGCAACCCUUAUCCUUUGUUGCCAGCGGUCCGGCCGGGAACUCAAAGGAGACUGCCAGUGAUAAACUGGAGGAAGGUGGGGAUGACGUCAAGUCAUCAUGGCCCUUACGACCAGGGCUACACACGUGCUACAAUGGCGCAUACAAAGAGAAGCGACCUCGCGAGAGCAAGCGGACCUCAUAAAGUGCGUCGUAGUCCGGAUUGGAGUCUGCAACUCGACUCCAUGAAGUCGGAAUCGCUAGUAAUCGUGGAUCAGAAUGCCACGGUGAAUACGUUCCCGGGCCUUGUACACACCGCCCGUCACACCAUGGGAGUGGGUUGCAAAAGAAGUAGGUAGCUUAACCUUCGGGGGGGCGCUUACCACUUUGUGAUUCAUGACUGGGGUGAAGUCGUAACAAGGUAACCGUAGGGGAACCUGCGGUUGGAUCACCU